UUCAUUCAGCCAUUCUACCGAGAUUUGUUGACCACCUGCUAUCUGUUUGCAAACCUUAUACUGAGACUUGGGGGAUUUACAGCCAUAAUACAGAAAUCUUUCCAGGAUCUAGUGUUGGUACAGAGAUGGAAAUACAUCAUGAAAGUCAGAGUGCAACAAAUGCUAAUUAGAGUCAGGAGCAAUUCGAUGGAGACUGGCACUGAAUGAUGACUUUAAGGCCACAGAAAUGGAGACAGAGCCAGGUCUUGUGAAUCUCAGGCUGGCAUUCUGCUGACUACAUGGAACUGCACCAGACAGAGGAUUCACCUGUGAACUCUCAGCGUGAUAGAAGCCUUGUUGGAACAGGCAAAACCUGGCCUAUCCUCCCCUCUACUGCUUGAUAACACAGCAUGAAAAGAUGCCAACUAUAAAUACCUAAAGUAAGAGUAAAACUAUGGAAGAAAAUUUAUGAAUCAUCUGCUCAGUGUGCAAAGAAGAAUGACACAUUUAAAGUGUAUUGACAUCACUGACCAA